rnacentral:piRNA from 1 species
UUUUGAACCAUAGCAUGUAAAUUUUCCUGG